AGCGAACGCUGGCGGCAUGCUUAACACAUGCAAGUCGCACGGUCAGCAAUGGCAGUGGCGGACGGGUGAGUAACGCGUAGGAAUCUAUCUCUGGGUGGGGGACAACUGUGGGAAACUACAGCUAAUACCGCAUGAUACCUGAGGGUCAAAGGCGCAAGUCGCCUGGAGAGGAGCCUGCGUCUGAUUAGCUAGUUGGUGAGGUAAAGGCCCACCAAGGCGACGAUCAGUAGCUGGUCUGAGAGGAUGAUCAGCCACAUUGGGACUGAGACA
rnacentral:rRNA from 1 species